rnacentral:rRNA from 1 species
GACGAACGCUGGCGGCGUGCUUAACACAUGCAAGUCGAACGGAAAGGCCCUGCUUUUGUCGGGUGCUCGAGUGGCGAACGGGUGAGUAACUAGUGCGUAACCUGCCCUUGCCUUUGGGAUAACUUCAGGAAACUGGGGCUAAUACCGAAUACGAGCUCCUGCUGCAUGGUGUGGGUUGGAAAGUUUCGGUGGCUGGGGAUGGUCUGGCGGCUCAUCAGCUUGUUGGUGGGGUAGUGGCUUACCAAGGCUUUGACGGGUAGCCGGCCUGAGAGGGUGACCGGCCACAUUGGGACUGAGAGACGGCCCAGACUCCUACGGGCGGCAGCAGUGGGGAAUAUUGCACAAUGGGCGGAAGCCUGAUACAGCAACGCCGCGUGCGGGAUGACGGCCUUCGGGUUGUAAACCGCUUUCGCCUGUGAAGAAGGGUGAGUGACGGUAAUGGGUAAAGAAGGACCGGCUAACUACGUG